GCGGACGUAGCUCAGUUGGUAGAGCCCCGGAUUGUGAUUCCGGUUGUCGCGGGUUCAAGCCCCGUCGUUCGCCCCA
rnacentral:tRNA from 1 species